UGGGACUAGGCAGAGUUUUGAGUUACUUUACUUUAGCAAUGUUUAUUCAAUAUUCCUGCAGUCAGACACUGAUCGAGUCUGAUUCAGUGAUCAUCAAACCUGAUCAGUCUCAUAAACUGACCUGCACAGCUUCUGGAUUUACAUUUAGCAGCUACUGGAUGCACUGGAUCCGUCAGAAACCAGGACGAGGACUGGAGUGGAUCGGGCGCAUUGAUACUGGCACUGGCACUAUAUUCGCUCAGUCUCUACAGGGCCAGUUCUCCAUCACUAAAGACACCAAUAAAAACAUGCUGUAUCUAGAAGUGAAGAGUCUGAAAGCUGAAGACACGGCUGUUUAUUACUGUGCACGAGACUCACACUGAUACAACAGACUGCAGAGCUGUACAACAACUUACACAAGCACUUCCUCAUGAGCUGUAAAUAUUCCCUCAGCAGGAAACUGAACCCCACAGACA